UUUUCCAUCUCAUAUGCAGAGUUCGAGGGAAACUUUUGCCUCGUCAGCAAACAGCAUUUUUUGUCGUGCAGACUGUGCGAAGACUUCCCGUUCAAAAAUCAGACGUACAAAUUGCUAAUUUUUGUUCUUGUUCUUGUUCUCUUUUGCUUAUUUUUAGCAAAUUCAGUGAAGUACUUGCCUGUCCAUUUGUAAAAUGCCGAGAGAGAAGAGUCCAGGCCUCAAGAUCCUCUGGCUUUGGACCAUUGGCACCGCCGCCAUUCUAGUUACAAGCGUGGUGAGGACAAGGCUAAGGGACAUGGAACAGCAAAUGAAUGCUGAACAGCAGCCAAAAAGCUCUCUCAGCGAUUCAAUUAUAGUAGACAACUCGCUCGCCUCUCAGGAGGGAAUCGAGAAGUGAAAUAAUAGGUUUUAUUUUAAAAAUUUAGUUUCCCAUUCUGUCUGCAAUAUGUUUGAUUUAUGUCCUGAGAGAGUAUCUUAUCGCACGAACGUCAAGUUCUCAUUCUUGUACUCUUAAACAUCCAUUUAUUUUAUGCGAAGCAACUUAAUGAGUUUUACAAAUG